UUGAAUUAUCUCGAAAUCGGAAGUCUGGCGGUGCUGCUGUAUGGACAGGAUUACAGACUGUUUAAUUUGCCUAAUUGGCUGUGCUAGCGGUUGACUUAGCGAACGAAAACACAAAAA